rnacentral:lncRNA from 1 species
UAAAUAGUCCAAGAAGUGCAGGGAAGUCCAUUUAGAACCGCAGGAACAGUGCUCGGGAAGGCUGCUGGGGCAGAAAUCACUGGCGGCGCGUCUUCCCACGCGCCACCGCCACUGGCGGCGCGUGGGUGCACGCGCCACCGUGAGAAGGAGCUGGAAAACAGCUGGUCCAGACAGCUUCUUCUUCUCCUGUCUUCCUAAACCAUCGGUGAUCUGCAGAACAAGGAAAUAAACACACAGCAGUUGAUUUUAGUUUUUUUUCUUUGAUUUCAAAUCUAUUUUUGUUCCCUUUUUUAGAUCUGCAUCGUUUUUGAUCUGCUCCUCUUUCUCUUCUUCUUCGUUGCAGAUCAGUCCGUGGGUUUCUUCUUCUUCCGUGGCCGACCUGCUGUGGAGUGAGGAGUGGUUGUCCGGUCGGUGGGGGGAUCGCCUGCUGCUGUGUGGCUCGGUGGAAGCCGGUUCUGUGGAGCUGGGUCUGCUGGAUCUUUGGACGGCGCUACUGCGGAGACGCCGCUGGUUCGCCCA